AGUGAACGUUGGCGGCGUGGAUUAGGCAUGCAAGUCGAGCGAUCGUAGCAAUACGGGAGCGGCAAACGGGGUAGGAAUACAUCGGAACGUACCUUUUGGUUGAGAAUAGCGUUGGGAAACUGACGGUAAUACUCAAUAAGGUCGAGAGACCAAAGGUUUACUGCCGGAAGAGCGGCCGAUGCGAUAUUAGGUAGUUGGUGGGGUAAUGGCCUACCAAGCCUGAGAUGUCUAGGGGGGUGUGAGAGCAUGGCCCCCACCACUGGGACUGAGAGACUGCCCAGACACCUACGGGUGGCUGCAGUCGAGGAUCUUCGUCAAUGGGCGAAAGCCUGAACGAGCGACGCCGCGUGCGGGAUGAAGGCCCUUGGGUUGUAAACCGCUGUCAGGGGGGAUGAAACCGCAAGGUUGACAGAGCCCCAGAGGAAGCACGGGCUAAGUUCGUG
rnacentral:rRNA from 1 species